AAACUAACAAGGAUUCCCCUAGUAACGGCGAGUGAAGCGGGAAGAGCUCAAAUUUGAAAUCUAGUAGCCUUCGGCUGCUCGAGUUGUAAUCUAGAGAAGUGUUUUCCGUGCCGGCCCAUGUACAAGUCCCUUGGAACAGGGCGUCAUAGAGGGUGAGAAUCCCGUCCUUGACAUGGACCCCCGGUGCUCUGUGAUACACUUUCAACGAGUCGAGUUGUUUGGGAAUGCAGCUCAAAAUGGGUGGUGAAUUCCAUCUAAAGCUAAAUAUUGGCGAGAGACCGAUAGCGAACAAGUACCGUGAGGGAAAGAUGAAAAGCACUUUGGAAAGAGAGUUAAACAGUACGUGAAAUUGUUGAAAGGGAAACGAUUGAAGUCAGUCAUGCUCUUUGGUAUUUAUAUCAUUGAGUGGGGUCAACAUCAGUUUUGAGCGAUGGAUAAAGGCACUAGGAAGGUAGCACUCUCGGGUGAACUUAUAGCCUAGCGUCAUAUACAUUGUUUGGGACUGAGGAACGCAGCAUGCCUUUAUGGCCGGGAUUCGUCCACGUACAUGCUUAGGAUGUUGACAUAAUGGCUUUAAACGAC
rnacentral:rRNA from 1 species